rnacentral:rRNA from 1 species
AUUGAACGCUGGCGGCAGGCUUAACACAUGCAAGUCGAGCGAGCGGCGGACGGGUGAGUAAUGUCUGGACAACUGCCUGAUGUAGGGGGAUAACUACUGGAAACGGUAGCUAAUACCGCAUACCUUCAUAUUUGCCCAGAUGGGAUUAGCUAGUGGGUGGGGUAAUGGCUCACCUAGGCGACGCUCCCUAGCUGGUCUGAGAGGAGGACCAGCCACACUGGAACGGAGACACGGUCCAGACUCCGACGGGAGGCAGAAGUGGGGAAUAUUGCACAAUGGGCGCAAGCCUGAUGCAGCAAUGCCGCGUGUGUGAAGAAGGCCUUCGGGUUGUAAAGCACUUUCAGCGAGGAGGCGUUACUCGCAGAAGAAGCACCGGCUAACUCCGUGCCAGCAGCCGCGGUAAUUC